GAUGAAGAACGCAGUGAAAUGCGAUAAGUAAUGUGAAUUGCAGAAUUCCGUGAAUCAUCGAAUCUUUGAACGCACAUUGCGCCCCCUGGUAUUCCGGGGGGCAUGCCUGUCCGAGCGUCAUUGCAACCUUCAAGCGCGGCUUGUGUGUUGGGUCUCGUCCCCCGUGGACGGGCCCGAAAGGCAGUGGCGGCGUCCCGACAUGGUGCCCGAGCGUAUGGGAAACCUCUUCCGCUCGAAUCGGCCCAUGCGGCGCUGGUCGUAACCAAAUUUUUUUACCGGUUGACCUCGGAUCAGGUAGGGAUACCCGCUGAACUUAAGCAUAUCAAUAAGCGGAGGA
rnacentral:misc_RNA from 1 species